CAUAGCGACUAUCGUGGCAUAUCAAUAAGCGGAGGAAAAGAAACUAACAAGGAUUCCCCUAGUAACGGCGAGUGAAGCGGGAAGAGCUCAAAUUUGAAAUCUUAAAGGGUUUCCCUUUACGAAUUGUAGUUUAAAGAAGUGUUUUCUGUUGGAGUUUCGGUAAAAGUUCUUUGGAAUAGGACAUCAUAGAGGGUGAGAAUCCCGUAUUUGACCGUUACUUUCCAGCUGUGUGAUACACUUUCAAAGAGUCGGAUUGUUUGGGAAUGCAGUCCAAAAUGGGUGGUAAAUUUCAUCUAAAGCUAAAUAUUGGCGAGAGACCGAUAGCGAACAAGUACCGUGAGGGAAAGAUGAAAAGAACUUUGAAAAGAGAGUUAAACAGUACGUGAAAUUGUCAAAAGGGAAGCGUUUGACACCAGUGUUGUUUAGUUGAAAAUCAAUUCAAUAAUUUUUGAUUUUAAGUAGUAUUGACUUCAUCAGCUUGCUGCUUUCUUUUCGGAAAUUAUUGAAUGCACUUUUCAGUUAACAAGUCAACAUCAAUUUCUUUUGUUGUAAAAGGGUAAGAGGAAGGUGGCUUACGCUUCGGCGUAAGUGUUUAUAGCCUUUUACCUCUGCAAUCGGAGAGAUUGAGGACAGCAGCGUAGACUCCUUCGGGGGUUAGAUACACUUGUGCUAAGCUAUAGCCUUGUAUAGACAACUUGUUGACUAUGCUCAGUCAUGUAGCUUACUCGCUUGUGCUAUUUUACCUACGCUUAGGAUGUUGACGAGACUGUCGAUCUC
rnacentral:rRNA from 1 species